rnacentral:rRNA from 1 species
AGAGUUUGAUCCUGGCUCAGGACGAACGCUGGCGGCGUGCUUAACACAUGCAAGUCGAACGAGGCCGCUCCUUUCGGGGAGCGAGUCGAGUGGCGGACGGGUGCGUAACACGUGAGUGACCUGACCUUGUGUGGGGGACAACCCGGGGAAACCCGGGCUAAUACCGCAUAGGCGCAGCGCCUUUCGGGGUGCAGCGUGAAAGCCGGCCUAUCCAUGGAAGCUGGCGCGCAGGGAGGGGCUCGCGGCGUAUCAGCUAGUUGGUGAGGUAACGGCUCACCAAGGCGACGACGCGUAGCGGGUCUGAGAGGACGACCCGCCACAUUGGAACUGAGACACGGUCCAGACUCCUACGGGAGGCAGCAGUGGGGAAUAUUGGGCAAUGGCCGCAAGGCUGACCCAGCGACGCCGCGUGGGGGAUGAAGGCCUUCGGGUUGUAAACCCCUGUUCGGUGGGACGAACAUUUUCCCAUCAAUAGUGGGAAAAUCUGACGGUACCACCAGAGUAAGCCCCGGCUAACUCCGUGCCAGCAGCCGCGGUAAUACGGAGGGGGCAAGUGUUGUUCGGAAUUACUGGGCGUAAAGGGCGCGCAGGCGGCUUGGCAAGUCGAGUGUGAAAUACCUCAGCUUAACUGAGGAAUGGCGCUCGAAACUACCUCGCUAGAGGGCGGGAGAGGGAAGUGGAACUCUCGGUGUAGGGGUGAAAUCUGUAGAUAUCGAGAGGAACACCGGUGGCGAAGGCGGCUUCCUGGCCCGUACCUGACGCUGAGGCGCAAAGCGUGGGGAGCAAACAGGAUUAGAUACCCUGGUAGUCC